rnacentral:pre_miRNA from 1 species
UUAACUAAAAUUUGCAUGGAGGUGGAACGUUUGGUUACGAUUGCCGCUAGGGGCGCUGUUCCAAGUGCAUACAAAUUUGAGUUA